GAUGAACGCUGGCGGCGUGCUUAACACAUGCAAGUCGAACGGAAAGGCCGAAGCUUGCUUCGGUACUCGAGUGGCGAACGGGUGAGUAACACGUGGGUGAUCUGCCCUGUACUUCGGGAUAAGCUUGGGAAACUGGGUCUAAUACCGGAUAUGACGAUCUCUUGGAUGGGGUUGUGGAAAGCUUUUGCGGUAUGGGAUGAGCUCGCGGCCUAUCAGCUUGUUGGUGGGGUAAUGGCCUACCAAGGCGUCGACGGGUAGCCGGCCUGAGAGGGUGUACGGCCACAUUGGGACUGAGAUACGGCCCAGACUCCUACGGGAGGCAGUAAUGGGGAAUAUUGCACAAUGGGCGCAAGCCUGAUGCAGCGACGCCGCGUGGGGGAUGACGGCCUUCGGGUUGUAAACUCCUUUCGCAAUCGACGAAGCCUUUUGGUGACGGUAGGUUGAGAAGAAGCACCGGCUAACUACGUG
rnacentral:rRNA from 1 species